rnacentral:rRNA from 1 species
GACGAACGCUGGCGGCGUGCUUAACACAUGCAAGUCGAGCGGAAAGGCCCUUCGGGGUACUCGAGCGGCGAACGGGUGAGUAACACGUGAGCAAUCUGCCCCAGGCUCUGGGAUAGCCACCGGAAACGGUGAUUAAUACCGGAUACGACAACUUCCUGCAUGGGAUGGUUGUGGAAAGUUUUUCGGCCUGGGAUGUGCUCGCGGCCUAUCAGCUUGUUGGUGAGGUAAUGGCUCACCAAGGCUUCGACGGGUAGCCGGCCUGAGAGGGUGACCGGCCACACUGGGACUGAGACACGGCCCAGACUCCUACGGGAGGCAGCAGUGGGGAAUAUUGGACAAUGGGCGGAAGCCUGAUCCAGCAACGCCGCGUGAGGGAUGACGGCCUUCGGGUUGUAAACCUCUUUCAGCACAGACGAAGCGCAAGUGACGGUAUGUGCAGAAGAAGGACCGGCCAACUACGUGCCAGCAGCCGCAGUAACAC